GUGGGUAACCUGCCCAUAAGACUGGGAUAACUCCGGGAAACCGGGGCUAAUACCGGAUAACAUUUUGAACCGCAUGGUUCGAAAUUGAAAGGCGGCUUCGGCUGUCACUUAUGGAUGGACCCGCGUCGCAUUAGCUAGUUGGUGAGGUAACGGCUCACCAAGGCAACGAUGCGUAGCCGACCUGAGAGGGUGAUCGGCCACACUGGGACUGAGACACGGCCCAGACUCCUACGGGAGGCAGCAGUAGGGAAUCUUCCGCAAUGGACGAAAGUCUGACGGAGCAACGCCGCGUGAGUGAUGAAGGCUUUCGGGUCGUAAAACUCUGUUGUUAGGGAAGAACAAGUGCUAGUUGAAUAAGCUGGCACCUUGACGGUACCUAACCAGAAAGCCACGGCUAACUACGUGCCAGCAGCCGCGGUAAUACGUAGGUGGCAAGCGUUAUC
rnacentral:rRNA from 1 species